rnacentral:rRNA from 1 species
GAACCACCUGAUCCCUUGCCGAACUCAGUAGUGAAACCGCUCAGCGCCGAUGGUAGUGUGGGGCCUCCCCAUGCGAGAGUAGGUCAUCGUCAGGC